UACAGAGGCCCCAAGCGUUACUGAGAAUCACUGGGUUUAAAGGGUGCGUAGGUGGUCCGUUAAGUUCGUUGUGAAAUCCCUGGGCUCAACCCAGGAAAUGCUUCGAAUACUGGCGGACUUGAGGCCAGUAGAGGUCACUGGAACUGACGGUGGAGCGGUGAAAUGCGUAGAUAUCGUCAGGAACGCCGGUGGUGAAGACGGGUGACUGGGCUGGUUCUGACACUGAGGCACGAAAGCGUGGGGAGCGAACGGG
rnacentral:rRNA from 1 species